GACGAACGCUGGCGGCGUGCUUAACACAUGCAAGUCGAACGGAAAGGCCCUGCUUUUGUGGGGUGCUCGAGUGGCGAACGGGUGAGUAACACGUGAGUAACCUGCCCUUGACUUUGGGAUAACUUCAGGAAACUGGGGCUAAUACCGGAUAGGAGCUCCUGCUGCAUGGUGGGGGUUGGAAAGUUUCGGCGGUUGGGGAUGGACUCGCGGCUUAUCAGCUUGUUGGUGGGGUAGUGGCUUACCAAGGCUUUGACGGGUAGCCGGCCUGAGAGGGUGACCGGCCAAAUUGGGACUGAGAUACGGCCCAGACUCCUACGGGAGGCAGCAGUGGGGAAUAUUGCACAAUGGGCGGAAGCCUGAUGCAGCAACGCCGCGUGCGGGAUGACGGCCUUCGGGUUGUAAACCGCUUUCGCCUGUGACGAAGCGUGAGUGACGGUAAUGGGUAAAGAAGCACCGGCUAAAUACGUG
rnacentral:rRNA from 1 species